UUAUAAAACUUUUUCAGUUUUUCCUCAAGUGUCAUUGAGCCAAGCUGGCACAUGAAAGACGUCAACAGAAGGUUUCCGUGUAAAAUAUUUCGAAUAAAUGUCGGCUGCUUUGAUAUUUCCCAAGUUUUGCGCCCGUCUAUAAAUUGGUACAUAAUAAAACUAGGUCUGCAAGCCUGUUCGUCCCUUUUUCUUGUUUCAAAUACAUCAAGAAUCGUGUGAAAAUAAAAUUACUGUCGAAAAAUUACAUGCGGCGCCGCAGAUCGCGUCACAUGCUCGACGGGCACCUCGUGCUGGUUUCCGGAGCCCUAGGCUGCCACGAGGGCGCUGGGUUCGGAUCGAACAAGCAUGAUGUGAAAAUAGAACGUGCAAAUUGAUAGCCGUCAGUUCUUACCCGAACAUUCAACCGGAUAAAUAUUUCAACAGAUUUAAUUAAUUGUGUAUUUAGAGACGCACGGAGCGACCCUUGUUUUUUAAAACUAAAUGAUGUCUUUUAUGACGCCAUUUUAACAUCUCUAACGCUAAUAUAACAUAACCUGAAUAUAGCCUAAUCUUAAUUAAUUUAAUGUAAUCUAAUUUUACUUAUAAUAAGUAUUUAAUAUAUAUAAUAUGUAUUUUAUACAUUAUUAUUUUUAUAACAUCAUUAUUUUUCUAAUAAGUGUGCAUAUCAAAAUUGAUGUUAAUUGUGAAAAAGUAUUACUCUGGAUUUCAUAUUUCUUAAAAUUAUCCAUUGUAUUUUCAUUCAAUUAAUCUUACUUUUCUAAUUUCAAGAUUUGGUCAACUAUUGCAUUGUCGAUUGCACCUAUAAUUGAGAUGACGUUUUUAUGAUGAUUUGUUAUUUGAUGAUCACUUUGUUGGUGCAACUAAAUAAAUAAAUAAACAGCA